AGAAUCCCCUCUGCAGCCAUCUUCUCUGCUGCUAGCUAGCCAGCCAGCUGGGGCACUGUUUCCAGUCCUCCACAGAGGAGACUCCUAUCCCACCACGCCCUGCGAGAAACUUCUUCUUCGUGGCAUCGUUUCGCGACGCUACAUGACUCUCCGUUCCAGGACCAGCUUAUUCCCCUCAGCUGUUACCUUGAUGAACUCUACACCUCGGUGAUAGCUGCCACCCCUGAAUGCCCUCUGACCCCCUACACACCUUCCUCCAGCGGCUGAACUUUUACAAUACAACGGUCUCUCCCUCGCCGUUCACUUAACAAUUAUACUAGGUCUGUCUCUACACUUACCCAUACAUAUUUAUACUACUGUCUACGCAGUAUGUAUCUGAUCCAUAGUGUAUACACUGUAUUUAUAUCAAGCUCCCAGCUGUUUAUUCUGCAUAUGUCACACUGCCAUUACUAGUACUUAUACCUUCACUGUGUAUCUUUUUGUUUAUGCUGUAUAUGUUACAUCUACCCCUUACUGUUUAUCUACACAUUCGUACAUACUUUGCAACUGUAUUUGAUUGUCUAUGUGCAAUGACAAUAAAGUUGGAUUUAAAACAUG